rnacentral:rRNA from 1 species
GACGAACGCUGGCGGCGUGCUUAACACAUGCAAGUCGAACGGAAAGGCCCUGCUUUUGUGGGGUGCUCGAGUGGCGAACGGGUGAGUAACACGUGAGUAACCUGUCCUUGACUUUGGGAUAACUUCAGGAAACUGGGGCUAAUACCGGAUAGGAGCUCCUGCUGCAUGGUGGGGGUUGGAAAGUUUCGGCGGUUGGGGCUGGACUCGCGGGUUAUCAGCUUGUUGGUGGGGUAGUGGCGUACCAAGGCUUUGACGGGUAGCCGGCCUGAGAGGGUGACCGGCCACAUUGGGACUGAGAUACGGAGCAGACUCCUACGGGAGGCAGCAGUGGGGAAUAUUGCGCAAUGGGCGGAAGCCUGAUGCAGCAACGCCGCGUGCGGGAUGACGGCCUUCGGGUUGUGAACCGCUUUCGCCUGUGACGAAGCGUGAGUGACGGUAAUGGGUAAAGAAGCACCGGCUAACUACGUG